rnacentral:misc_RNA from 1 species
AACGCAUAUGGCGCCUGCUAGCCCUGCUAGGAGGCAUGCCUGUUUGAGAAUCGUCCUUCUUAUCCCCCUUGGUGACAUCGGGGGACAUGGGCCUUCACCAGUGAUUGCCUCGAGUGCGGCGCGGUUGUGUCGUGAUAGACUGAUCGGCCAACUGCCCUUUGUCAGCGAUCUCAAAUCAGGCAGGAUGACCCGCUGAACUUAA